UUUUUUUUUUUCUUUUUUUUUUUUAAAGAUUUAUUUAUUUCAUGUAUGUGAGUACACUAUCGAUGUCUUCAGACACACCAGAAGAGGGCGUCUGGCCCCAUUAUAAAUGGUUGUGAGCCACCAUGUGGUUGCUGGGAAUUGAACUCGGGGCCUCUGGAAGAGCAAUCAGUGCUCUUACCCUCUGAGCCAUUUCUCCAGCCCCUGCUUUGUCCUGACUCUGCAUAAUGGACUACAUGUUGUAAAUGGAAACAAUUCCUUUUUUCUCCAAGUUGAUUUUGGUCAGUGUUUUAUCACAGGAAUAGAAAUCCUAAGUGCGACUUCAAUGAAGAUUAUGAAUUAAGAAAUAAAGCUGAUGUAGGUGCAAGAAAUGAAAUGGUGUUUGGUGGAGGUGGGGGUAAAUUGCGAGAUGGCAUUUUAGUGAUCCUGAGCCUUGUCAGCUUGAGUCUCGACGAGUGAGGAGGGCAGGCGUUCCUGCUGCUGUUCCUCCUCUCAGUGUCUUGAGCUUCUCUUCUCCGACCCUGCUCAUCCUUUACCUUGUGAAUAUGGGGCCACAGAGGCCAGAAGAGGGCAUCUGAAGUUACAGGAGGCUGUGAGCCUCCUGAUGUGGGUGCUGGGAACUGAGUCCGGUCCUCUAGAAGAGCAGUACAGGCUCUUAACUCCUGAGCAUCAUCUCCCUCACACUGGACUUGCAUUGGAAAGUUCUCCCCAGAGGCGGAAUUGUAGGUCUUUUAAAGCUAAGGUGUUUGACAGGUGCCCACAGCUGAGGGUGAAUAAGAUUCUGAGUUCUGCUGUGUGCAGCAGAGUCCUCAUCAAUCAAUCCCCUUCACUGGGCUGACUGAGACAGCUGUCCCUAAGGUAACUCGGAACUUGAGACUAAGGGGCAGGCAGGGGUGAGUGCUAGGUGGGUGGGUAGAGGCAUAGAGGGGAUUUUUCUAUACAUAAGAAGAAGAACCAGAUGAAGCAGGUCUUUACAUGGGUGUUUGGCAUUCAGCUAGAAACAUCACCUUUCCGUCCCACAGUGACAUCAGCUGGUAUUUGAGGCUAGUUAUUAGUGUGCCCAGUGAGCCAGCUCAGUGUUUUUAAAAUGAAGUCUGAAAGCAUGAUUUGCUCAGUUUCACUUCACUACUGCUCACUACCACUCACAUAUAGUUAGUGGCAGUUUAGUUGAAGCUGUCUUUUCGUUGUGUGAGUAGUAGACUGUAAACAGUGCUCUGAGAACACACGUCUUCAGAAUGUCCGUAUUUGAUGUCUGAGUGGUUGGUGGGAGACCUGAUGUUUGUGUUCUGCUGGGGAGAGAUCUGCACUCAUUUAAACAGGGAAACCCAGUCCUUUUCUAGGCAGACAUUUCUUUUUUUUUUCUUUUUUCUUUUCUAGGGGUUAAUAAUCUUCUUAUGUUUUACCUUUCAGCCAAAGAUAUGGACCUGUUUGUUUUAUAUAAAUAUUAUUAACUAUAUUUUUUCAAAUUAUAGAAAAUAAUUUCCAUGCCAGCAUUUAUUUAUUUAUUUAUUUAUUUAUUUAUUUAUUUAUUUAUUUAUUUAUUUAUUUGAGACAGGGUUUCUCUGUGUAGCCCUCACUGUCCUAGAACUCACUCUGUAGACCAGGCUGGCCUCAAACACAGAAAUCCGCCUGUCCCUUGCAAGCACCACCACUGCCUGGCACAUUUUUGGAUCUUUAGUUUUGAAUUUUGUUCUUCUUUUUUUUUUUUUCCCAAAUACUUAAUCCUGUUUUCCCCUUAAAGUGUAUUUUUUUUUUCUGGAAGAUGUGUGUAGAUUCUCUUCUUUGCAGACUUUGGGGGUCUAUAUUUGUUGGGGGAACUAAGACACUGUACUUUUACCAUCCAGUAAGCUGUUUUGUUAAUACUACAUGAAUCUUAGCAAGUUAAAUGUGACUUUCAGGAUGAGAGAGGUCAGAUCUUUGAGCAGACUCCUGAAUUUCAUUCUCCUCUGGUUUUCAUAUUUCUACCUUCUGUACAUUUAAGAGUGAAACACAAAGCUUCCUAAGCUGUGCUUUUUAGCUGUGGACUGGCCCAUGUGGCUCAGGCCUUAGAUAAAACCAGAAAUAAUCGUCAGGUCGUAGUUUUCUAGUGAACUGUUGCAUGGGGUUGAAAUGUGGCUGUAUGUAGGCUUCUUGUUUUCCUGCUUGUAGAAUGAUGAUAAUUGUACUGCCUCCAGGACUGUGGUAGCUGCAAGGUGAUGUGUGUGUUGGCUGCCUUCUUAGAGCUAGGGCAUAAUAAUUUGUGAUCCAGCACCGAUCAGCUUGAUGAUAAAAGCACGUUGGCAGUUAUCUCAUAAAGUGUGGUGCUUAUGUGACAUUUUGGUCAUGGCAAGGAAAGCCGCACAGCAUCGUGAAUGGCGUUUACAGUAGAGUAGAAGCACCCGCUUUCCAAAGUGAUCAUGCGGGGGUCCAGGGUUCUUAAAGGGAAACUUAGAAUCUCUUCUCAUUUCGCCUCUUUGCUCAUUACACAGUCUCGUACUGUGCAGAUUGCUGCAGGUCUUCUCACCAAAUGAGUUUUGUAUCUCUAAGUUAAUUUUCUGCCAGAAUCACUUGAGGCUGAUGACCGGUGUUUGCGUAGCCAUUAAGCACACUGCCAGGAUAUGUCCACUCCUUUCCACCGCUCCCAUUAAACAGCUGUCACAGAUUUGCAGAUCUGCCCCCUUGCUCUGCAUUAAUUGUAGGGAAUCAUAGGGUACAGUGUAAGCUGACCUGUGGAGGAGUUGGUCAGGUUGUCGUCAGUGCUCGGAAGGGAAAUGCAAAUCUGUCAUCUGGUGGAUCAGAUUUAUUAGAGCUUCAUAGUUACAUAACUAGAAAAGAUAGGGAAGGAAUUGAAUUGUUCGAAUGCUGGGCCUUGGUGAACCUUUCCUUGCUUCAUUCCAGAACUUGCAGCCAGUAAUAUUUAACAGUUCUGAGCAGCACAUAUUGGAGGAGUCUCGGGUUAGAAGCUCUCAUUAAAGUUGUAUAUAGCACCCUGCUGAGCUUUACAAUUGGUUUUGAAAUGAAAAUCUGUUAGAUUAGAGCAAAUAUUAUCCUAGCUGUGGUGAUAAGUAAUGUGGAAAAGAUUAAUGGUUUGUCUGUGAAGCCAGUGAGCAUUGAGCCUGCUGCUUCAGUGCCCUGUUUGAAAAGGUUGGGGUGAGAGAGGAAUCAGAAGAAAGGAGGAUGGUGAUUCCACAGCCCCUUCCCCUUGAUAACACCAAGGCAGCUUUAAGUUUCAGUUAUUCCCACAAGGAUAAGGUAGACCCUGGUAGGACCUGGCUCUGUCAGUGGAAUUGAAAAGCUGUGCUUCUGUCCUGUCCGCGGAUAUACUUCCCUUCUUCUCCUCAGGUAGGUGGUGGUCUGUGAUCUCUCUCAGGAACAGACACCUGAGGAUCAUGGGUAAACAUGAGCAGCAGCAGAGGGAACGUCUCACUUCCUCACCCAUGACACACACCACAUUGGAGGUGAUGGGGAUGCCGGCACCACCUAAGAUUUCACUCCACAGAGCUGCCAAGGGCGGCCCUUGAUUCCUCCGUCCAGUUACAAGCACUCUGUUCUCUGAGACCAUCUGUUGAAGCAAGGAGAGUAGCGUCCACACUGUUGAGUGCAGUGUGCCCUGGCAGAGCAGGGUGGUUUUGGCAUUUGGUGAGCCCUCAGCACCUGUACAGCAUAGUGGACUUAGGACAGUGUCCCCACCUUCCUGACCUUGGCAUUUGGAAGUUAAGUAUCUCCUUAACAACACUAAAUUAAUUAAUUAAUUAAUUAAUUUAUGUUAGAUUUCUUAAAGUAUGACAUCCUGUAAGCUCUUAUUCAAAGUUUUCUGUAUCAGCAGCACCCUCCCCCCCCAGGAUCUUGUUAGAGAAAUGCAGGUCAGACCCGGUCACUGACCUGUGACAUAAGUCAAGGAGAACCAGCAUUUAGCCGAGACCAUAGAAUUACUGCAGGUCAGAGUUUGAGAAGCUCUGUGGUGAGCCACACUUGCUUUUUUGAAAUAAGCAUCAAUGUAUUUUUCUUUUUGUCCAAAGCAAACAAGAAGGCUGUUAAGAAAACAGAAGGAGAAGCUUCUGAUUGUGAGUUUAGUGUCAGUGCAGCUCUGUGCUGCUCGGGACUGCGUCUCCUCCUUCAUGGAGAUGCUGCUUAUAGAUGCAGUUACUUCUCCCUACGCCUACAGCACACACAGGCCAGCUCUUUGCAGGCAUUUAAGAAACAACAGCUACUAUCUAUUAAGUGUUUUAUUGUGUUCCAGACACUAUACUAAAUUUAUAAAGUAAUUUACCUUACCUGAUGGUGAUGAUAGUGAUGGAUGUCCAUCUUUUCCUGUAAAGACUACCACCUACCUCAUUGGAGACAUCAUCUGUCUUUGGCCUAGAGUUUACCAAUAGGCUACACUGGAUUUCGGGCAAACUUCAAGGGCCCUCCCCUCUCUGCUUCUGUAGUAUUGGCCUUAAAAGUGUGGCAAUCACAAACACGUACCACCACAUCUAGCAUUUUUUAAUGUGGUUUCUGCGGAUUGAACUCAGGUCUUCACUUUACCAAUUGAGCUUUUCCUCAAUUGAGCUUUCCCCCCCUCUCUUUUUUUUUUAAAAAUGAGGAAGUAGACCCAGAGAACUUAAAGGAACUUUGUUAGUUCACUUAGCUCCUAAAUCUUAAUGAAAUGCAGAGUGGUUUGUUUGAAUGUAAAGACUAAGUAGCUUGCAUUUCUUUCCCUCAGCCUGUUUCUACUGGCAAGCACAGAGUGCACACUUUUCAUUGACUUGGACUGAGCAACUUUAGGACCGCUUGGUGCUUUGGUCCUAUUGGACAAAGCAUGUUUUGAUAAUAGGAGAUGAGCGUUCUGGUGUAGCUCUGCCCCUGACUGUCUGGUGUCUCUUGCCCUUGGUUGCCCUGCAGAUAGGUGUGUCUCCUUCCACAGAGUAUGAUUUGCAGGACAUGUUAUCUGUACCACCAAACACUCAGCAUGAGUCUGUAAAGCAAGGAGGCUUUACAGAUGAGACAGUCAGAUGCUGAGCAGAGGUUGGGGGAUUCUUCAUUGUUUUUAUUCAGAAAACUUGACUGGCGAGGGACCUGUGCUUGUGUGUGAGGCGUAUUUUAAGGCAGACAUCCCUCUCUUUGUUGGGAAUAGUGGAUCUGAUUGACGCAUCAGUCACUGUUGUCAGUUACAGUUUAGUACUUUAAAAAGUCAUGAAAACAGAGGUACACGAAGUGACACAUAUGUUAAUGAGCUUGAUUUAGCCAUAGCAUAGUACCUAUUUUAGAAUAACAUUGUGUAUGAUAAAAUACGUAACUUUCUCAAUUUAAAAUAUUCAGAAAAAAAUUGAAAAGUUUUACAGUGUAUACUAGGCAACAAGGAAGCACUUUGGCAAGAAAAAAAAAUAACCAAAGAGUAAGAUCUGUUUCAUAUACUUAUAGGAAAAAUGUCAUUGCUUGUGAAAAAUAAGAAUUAGGUCAGGACAAAAUAUAGCUUCAGUGUUUUAAGUAAGUGGUAGCUGCACUUGCUCUCUGCCCAGGCUUUGGUCUCUAGUAUGUGUUCUCACUAGUAAGCGUCUCCAUCAAUACAGCAAAAGAAAAACUUUUUAGAGUUUUCAUGAUAUUCACCAGUUGAAGACAUCGUUAUAAUAAUAUGCCUUUUCCAAAAAUUCAUUGCUCAACCUGGUAGUUCUGCUAAAGCGAAUGUGUACCCAAAAGAAUUGAACCCUAAGUAGGAUACGUGACUAAGUAUGUGUGUGUCACUUUUAGCUCGGGGCUUCUGGGCCUUAUUUCUGAAUUGCGUGGUAUCUUCAGCAAUAGGGACUUAACUUUCACCCCUGGCUGAGGGUAACCUAGGGCAAUCAAUAGCAGGGGGCCGUGUGCUAGACAGCUCUGGCCAACAACUCAAAAGAGGGCUUCUCAUGGUUGGUCCUGGGAAUUUUGGUAGGUGGUCUUGAACUUUUGGAGGGAGUGCUGUCAGCCUAGAUGAGAAAAGUUCAAUAAAAUUAUAAAUAUGUAUUUGUACAAUGAGUUAUGGCACAUUUUGUUUUCUAUGGCAGUAUUCAUAGCGGAUCAAACUCUGCUCACGUUUAGACUGUGCUGUGAGUGGACUGUCUUUGUUUUCUGUUCUCUCUAGAAGCCUUCAGAGAAGGUUUAGUUAAUCACAGGGCACAAUUUUUGUGACAUUUUACUUGUGGUACCUAGCACAAUAAUUAAAAUAUAUUGCUUGGCUAUUGAAACAAUAUUUUUUUUAUUACAGAGUUAAAACUGUCGUCUGGAAAGAAACUCUAUUAUUUAAAAAUGAAUAUUAUUUGGUAAAUAACUUAAAAUUUAAAAGAAUAGCUUCAAAUGGAAGGAUAUUGAUACAUUGCUUUGUGGAUCAGUUUUCUGACCUUUUGUCCUCUUGGAUCUGAAAGACCAUUAAUACAAAGUUGAACUUGUGGGAAAAUGACAAGAAUUUCCUCUUAAGUUCUUGUUUUUGGGCAGGCUUGCAUUUACCUGUGUAGUUUUGUAUGUUGUUACUUUUGAUGGAACACAAAUGUUGCAAUUACUCUACAGUGUUUUUAUUCAGUAGAGAAGUGUUACCUUUUCUCUGUGCAAGCUAGAGAUGUUUGAGGGUAAGAAUAACCCAGCGCGUAGGGGAGGGAGGUAUCCAGUGUGACUGACCUAAGAGAUUUUUGCUAAAUUGCUUUCCUGAAGGUUGGAUCUUACUGUGAAAUGUGCACCCAGCCCUUUUGUAGCCCUUUGUAUUUUUGUAUUUCUUCCUGGGCCCAGAGGAACAUCAAGGGAGUUUUUGUGAAGCCAGCAGAGGGCGCAUAUCUGAUGCUCUUGUACUUGAAAACAGGACUGAGUGAAUUUUUUUGAAGCAACUUGAAAACAGGACUGAGUGUAUUUUUAAGGGUUCUUCAUCAAAGCUCCUCCCUUCCCUCAACAUUCUUUUUUUUUUUUUAAAUUGUGAUUUAAAAAAACCAUUGUGAAAUAAAAUCAGAUGAAAAAAUGUUUUAAAGGAUUUGUUGUCAAAUCUGACAGUUGGUUUUCUCCCUAAGUUGGAGAACAUCAAUUUAGAGACAAGCAUCUUACUGGGUAGCCCUGGCUAGCCUGGAAUUUGUUAUGUAAACCAGUCUUGACUUCAAACUCAUAGAUAUCCACCUGCCUCUGCCUCCCUAGUGCUAAGAUUAAAAAUGUGCACUACCACUCCAGGUCUGUGAUCUAGACAUUUUUAAAGAAAGAGUGAAAUUGAACAAAAAUUGUGGCUUAUUCAAGUGGUAUUUAUUUUAUAUUUAUGACAUUUAAUUAAAGAAGGGUAACUGCUUUUAACCAUUUUAAAUUAAAUUAUAGUAAUGACUGUGCUUUAGUUCAUGUUAUGAAUUUGAAGUUCAAACGGUAUAGGGAACAAAGUUACAAUUCUGAAUCUUAUUCUCUUUUUAAAUUUUUUUUCCCCUUUAUGUGUUGUGUGUUGGCUCAGGUGUCAUUUUAGGAGCUUUGACCUACUUCCCCUGAGACAAGAUCUCUCUCUGGCCUGGGCCUCACUGUCUCUGUCUCCCAGUGCUGGGGUUACAGGGUGUGGCCUCCCAGCUGCCGUUCCCUGUGGAUUUCUGGUUCUAGGAUUGGACUCAGCAUCCUGUGCUUGUGAUGCCCAUGGAUCUUGUGCUGUUAAAGGGAACCAAGUGCAGUGGUGGGGCUUGUUACACUGUUCAAGCAGAUCUGCCCUUAACCCCCACUGAGUCUUUCUUAACCUGUCUUCUCCAGAGCGGGGGAAGAGUUUCUGGCAUAGAGAAAUUUAACCCUCUUUUAACCUUAUAAAAGCGUUAAAAAACCCCAUUAAUGCUUAUUUCAACCCAGAAGUGCUUGCUUUCUGGGUGUCUUAGGGUUUUCGUUGUUGUGAAGAGAUACCAUGACCAUAGCAAUCCUUAUAAAAGGGCAACAUUAAAUCAAGCUAGCUCACAGUUUCAGAAGUUUAGGCCAUUGUCAUCUGGUGGGAUGCAUGUCUGCAUGCAGCAGACUCGGUGCUGGAGGAGCUGAGAGGUCGUCUACAUGUUGACCCGAAGGCAGCCAGGAGGAGGCUCUGGAUCACACUGGCCAGACUUGAGCGUAGAUAUUUGAGACCCCAAAACCCCGCCUCCACAGUGACACACUUUCUCUAACAAGGCUGCACUUCUCCACUAAGACCACACUUCUAAUAGUGCCACUUCCCAUGGGCCAAGCAUAUUCAGACCACAAACUGGGGGUGUUUCUAUUUGACCAGCUGCUGCUGGCUACUUUGUGUUGCUAAUGCUGGCUGUGUAAUUGCUUUCUCAGUUAGUACACAGUGUACCUCUUUUUCAGCCUAAAUCAAGCAAGGCCUUGUCUUCAGAACCUUGACUGAAAAGACGAGAGUGAUGGCUGGGGGCAGGGCCGAGGAAGUGCCCCACAUGCACCAUGGGCAAACCUUAUGUACUCAUGUACUGAGGGUAAAGACUCGGCAUGGGGAGAUGGAAGGGGAGCUGCUUGGCGUGGGUUGACCCUGCUCCACUCAUUCAGGGUGGCUUGAGAGAACAUGAAGCACUUGGGUGGUAAAAGCACUAGCAUCAAGAAAGGCCCCACGGACACACGGCCCUCGGGGAGCACUGUGCUUGCUGUGGACACCUAGAGAAAUGGUGACUGCUCACAACUGUACAUGUCUCACGAGGGCACGGCCCACAAACGGAUGAACCGUAAGAGUCUCAGAGGGAGACCAUGCUAGAAAAUUGUGAGUUCUACAUGAUACCUUUUUAUUGGUUUCUAAAGUAUGUUCCCUACAGGAAUUAUAGCCAUUGUCAGCCUUAAAAAAAAAAAAAGUCACUUUACCUCCCUCUUUUAAAAAGGGCAUAAAGCCAGAAAUAGUGAGAAAUUCUGUCUUUCUGUAUUCAUUCUUACAGGUUACUACUUUAAAAAUUUAUUUUGGUUUUCUUAGCCAUUUGAGCACUUAGACCAAGAGUACAUGUAUGUUCUGAGAGUCUUGAUUCAGACGGUCAAAAAAUGGGUAUUUGAAUUUUUGUCAUUGCUAAAGGUCACAUUUUGCUUAGAUGUAAUCCAGUAUAUUCAUGGAUUAUAUAGAUUAGAGUCAGUCCUAGGCAUCCUUUUAUGUGUGACAAACGGCGUUACAGUAUUUGUGCCCCCCCCAAAAAACAUUUUUUACUCAGGUUUAAAAUUUCUGUUAAAUAUUCACAUUUGAUGGUUGCUUUCCAUCUGAUCAGUACAGUAGCAUGGAGAUUGAAUUUGUUUGUCUCACAUUAACCCUGGGGGUCAUAAAUACAGGCCAGCAUUUCUUGGUUGUUUUUGAACACUGAUGUGUAGGAUUAUGUGCAUGCAUUAAGAUUCUUUUUCUUUGAAUUACAGCGUGCAGCUGCAAGGCAGUAAGAACUAAAGUGCUGCAGCUCUGAAGGGCAUCUCCAAAUAUGACAUCUUCAUUACGUUUGUUUACAGCCUCAUUUUCAAAACAGAUAAUCACCAUCUCUGCUUUUUUUUUUUGAACCUCUUUAACAAGGAUUCCUUCCUUCUGCUGUUCUAAUUCUGUUUAUUCAGGCUUGGUUUCUAAGCAACCAAGAUGAUAUAUGGCUAGGCAUGUGUAUAUAUAGCAUUUCAGUGAUUGCAUAGCUUGGCUUUGAAACCCCUAGUAAUCAUCUUUAUAAAAGGGCAGGGCGAUGUCCACAUUGUUGUCAAUAUCUGUGCUUAGAUAAUGUUUUAGAUACGUUUUAAGUUUACGUUGCUCCUAACUAGUAGGUGGUAGAAUUAUACAGGUUUGUUGUUGUUGUUUGUUUGUUUUUAGCAGUGUAAAUGGUUCAAGGAAAUAAACUGGUAAUACAAGUCUAUAAAAGACACAGGUUGUAUCAUCACAGACCCAUGCUUUACUUUUCUUGAAGUAGAGAAUUCAGUGUGAAAAUGUUGAUUUGCUGUGUGUAGAUCUUCUCCCUAUCGAAAAUAUUCAUUAAAAAUUACCAAAAACCGGACAAAGUCUCUGCCAAUUAUCCUAAGGCUAGGCAGUAAAUGGAAAAAUUCUUACUUAAGAUGAGAACCAGGAGGGCUGGAGAGAUGGCUCAGAGGUUAAGAGCACUGACUGCUCUUCCAAACGUCCUGAGUUCAAAUCCCAGCAACCACAUGGUGGCUCACAACCACCUGUAAUGAGAUCUGACACCCUCUUCUGGUUUGUCUGAAGUCAGCUACAGUGUACUUAUGUAUAAUAAUAAUAAACCUUAAAAAAAAAUGAUGAGAACCGGGAAGGUCUACUGAUCUUGAUGAGAACAGCAUGAGUUUGGGCAUUUGAAUGGCCACCUUCUUUUACCAGCUGUUCAGGUGAGUUCAUGGGCUCACUGGACCGUUUGUUCUGGUCAACUCCGAGUCUAGGAAUACCACUGGCCCCAGGAGGACAGAUAACAAGCACUUCUUAUCAUUAACUCUGCUCCAUAUAUGCCCUAUUCUGGACGGACUUAAGCCAUCUCAUAAGGAAGAAGAUGUAAGAUCAGUAUUGAUCUUCUUUGUAAUAUAUUACAACCUUUUCUGUCUUGGACAGACAUUUCAUUUAGCUGUAUGUAUUGUAUGACCGACUAAGAGAAUAUUCUAAACCUGGGAGAAGGCUCCACACUCGGAGUAUAGUGUGUUCUGCUGUCUCGAUGCCUUCUCUUUCUUUCUCUUUCUCUUUCUCUUUCUCUUUCUUUCUCUCUCUCUCUCUCUCUCUCUCUCUCUCUCUCUCUCUCUCUCUCUCUCUCUCUCUCUCUCUCUCUCUCUCUCCCUCUUUGCUGCUCUUUUAGUGAAUAGAAAACAUAGGUAGCCCAUGACUGUUUCUUUCCUACAGGUUUAUCAGGUUUAAUUCGUAAGAAAAUACAAACUAUCAGAGGUGAAGAGAAAGUAUUUUUAGUGUUUGAGUGAUAACCAAGCCUCGUGGACUUAUGAACUUCCUGGCGUAUGCCCUCAUCUUGGGUUUUUCAAACUGCAGUAUGUAUCAUUCUGAGCAGGGUUUGUGCAGUUGGUAUAUUCUGGCCAAUUAAAGAGGAUAAACAUACCCACAGUGCAGAAAUAAACCAUGAACAUAACCUAAAAGGCCAGCUCCCACCACUGUCUGGUGUACAAUUUGUACUAAACAUAUUCAUCCUCAAAAUACCAACAGCAAACAGACCCGCUUCUUUAACCUGGUGCGGUACUCAUUUGACCUGAGGCAUGUAGAGCAUAUCAUACAUAGCUACAUCUACACAGUUGUAUAAUUUUAUCUUUUUUGUUUUAAGAUAAGUGUGUUGUUCUUGUUUAACAAGCAUCAUAGUCAUCACCAAUACUAUUUUAAAGGUGGGUACUUGGGUAAGCUCUUAACAUUUUAAACUUUUUUAUGUGUUUAGAUGUUUAGUCUGCAUGUGUGUCUAUGUGCAUGUAGGCUAUGUAAGGUGUCAGAUACCCUAGAACUGAAGAUACAGACAGCUGUGAGCUGCCAGGCAGGUGCUGGGAAUCCAACCCAGGUCCUUUGGAAGAGUGACCAGCACUCUUAACCACUUAGCCAUCUCUCCAGCCCCUUGGAAUAAGCAACUUUUGAUAUGUUUUCUCCAUGAUAAUGAACUUAGGUGAUACUGAUAACACAAUUGAAAAACCAGAGUAGACAGAUAAAAGAUAUUUAAUUUUAGUAUUGACAAAGGAAACACCCAUAUCCAGACUAUUGUGGGACUGUCAUUAGGAUGGACCCAGAUAGGGUUCCCACACGCUACUGCUGACGACACUUGUUAACUAGAAAGAGGGCUCUGUGAGCCCUUUCCUUGUCAGGUUUCCUUAGGGUAGAUGUGCAGCUUGUGCCAGUUGUUCUGGAGACUAGCCAGAUGCUGUGCAAAUGCACAAGGUGUGGUAGCAUAUUGUCUUUAAUUCCAGCACUCUCGGGCCAGCCUGGUUUACAUAGAGUUUCAGGUCAGCCAGGGCUAGAUCAUGUCUCAAAUCACAACCAAAUCAAUAUGUGUGUAAGUGACAAGAGCCUGUAACUCAGUUUUUAAAUGUUUAUUGCAAACAUCGUGUGAAUCAGAAAUAAGGUACAUAUAUAACUUUAAUCCUUUCUGACAGGGAGUGGCUUUUUCUUCAUAGGAUCUAGAUUGUACUAGCCACUAGGGAGGGCAGGAUACACUGUAAGUGCAGGAUAGCAGAAAGGUUGGGUGGAGCAUAAAGGCAGAGUCCACAUAGGAGAGUGGCAUUUCUGGAGCAGCUCAGUGGCAGAACACUGGGUUCCUGCUUCCAAGUGCUUUGGGCUUUUACACGCCAUUCUGUCCCUUUCUCCCACUGCCAUUUUAAAGAUGUGUAAAGACUCCCAGAGGAGACUCUGUUUCUCUCUUCCCCUGUUGAUGGCUCAUUCUGCUUUUUGUUAGAGAGAAAGGCUGAGGUGAUAACACUGCAGUCAUUUGAUUGCAAUCAAAGUGGAGAAGCAGGGCCACUUGAAAGAGCCUUUCCAAGGGAGACUUAAGCAAAUGUACCAUUUUAAUUAGGAUUGGAGAGAAUACUCCCAGCAAUGGUAACAGCUGUGAUAUUUUCCAAUGGUCGAGUUGAACCGAGGCUCCUAGGAUGGACGGUCUUCUGAGAGAGGACCAUUGAGUAUGUCAGAUGGACAUUCAUCUGAGAGGUCAAUUGCAAGUCGUUUCUCUAUUUGAUGGUUUGCUUUCAUCAUUUCUGGCAUGAUUUAUGUGAUGUAGAACUGUCAGUGGUUCCUCUGAUACCAGUAGACCUUCAUAGCCAUUUGUCUGUGCCAGAUAAACUUAGUCUUUCAUGUUUUGGAUGUCAUUCUAGAUGCAGAAGUCUUGAAAGCAAGGCUGACCACAGACAGGCUGGAUGCAGUCUUUGUCUCUUGAAGCUGUCAGGUCACACCCCGGGUUAAACUCAGGUUUGAAGCUCAGGCCCAUUGGGGUCUGGCUGGGUUAGCCAGAGUGAAACAGUAAAAGUAAAACCACAGACUUACAGGGGCAGGUCUGGAGUAGGCUGGGAUCAGACAUGUAUCAGGUUUCUUAGUCUGGGAUCAACAGGCUCUAUGCUUAGGUCUCUGAAUUUUACAAAGAAUUUCAAAUCACGUAUUCCCCUCUGUUUCUUUGUAUAUUACUAAACAAUACGUUUUUAAAAGAGAAUAUGAGGUCUGCCUUUAUAAGUAUAUGGUUUCUUUGAAAUUCACUUCCUUAUGAAAGGACAGUCUAGAAGCAUAUAGGGAUUAUUUGGAAAGUAUUCCAUGAUACCACAGUUUGGAGAAUUGUGUCUGAUAGUGGUUCGCAGCAUGUUGAAGGUUGAAGCAGUCUAGAACCAGCUUCAAAAUAUACACAUGCCGUGCAGUGACUUCAGUGACUUUACUCUUUACAGAUUGUCAUUUUUCAUUUGUUUUGUUUUCCAAGGUAGGGUUUUUCUGUGUUGCCCUGGCUAUCCUGGAACUUGCUGUGUAAACCAGGCUGUUCUCAACUAACAGAGAUUCGCUUGCCUCUGCCUUCUGAGUGAAGGAUUAAAGGUGUGUGCCACCACAUCUGUCUUCAUACCCAUUUUUUAUUAUUCCUUUGUUGAGGAUUUUUUUUUAGCUUAAUGAUUUGCUUCACAAGGUGCAAGAAGAAUAUGAUAUUCAUAAAGUAGAAUUAUUCUCAGAAGUUUGAGUAUAUUAAACAUGUAUAUUUUAGCACAGAUAUGUAAAACCCAGCAUCAAAGAAAAGCUAGUUUUAGUGUACAACAUGCAAUAGAAUACCACUUCUAUAAAAUGUGAACUCAGACCUCGAGUGCACAGAUAAUGCAGAUGUAAAUGUGUGGCCUUCAGGGAUGCUCUCCAGCAUCAUGGUGAUGACUGUUAGAACAAACUUUCUGAUAACACAUGUGUGCAGAGCAGAUAUGCAGAUCUCAGACUCUGGUCUGGGUUAUGGACCGAUGGCAUUUGUCAUAUUCUUUGUUUUAUUUUAAAUAGUAUUGAAGACCAUGCAUAUGUAAAAACAAGAGUAACAACAAAACCCUGAUGCGACUUUAGAGAGAGCACCAUCCUUCUUCAUCCGCUCGCUUGCAUGCGAGCAGUUCUGUCUGCGUUUCAUUUUGAGAUGUGAGAAAAUGAACAUGCAGAUUCUAGAAGGAAAACCUAAGAUCACUUAUUUCUAUGCAGAGGUAGUACACCAAAGAGAGUGGUUUGUGAGCCCACCUUUCCUGCUGUUGCCAUGUCUACACAUGCACCUUGGCCUCUUCUACAGAAAAUCAUGGUUGUCAGCGAGCGCUACAGAGAGUGUUGAUGUGACCGUUCUUGUCAGACUCAUCUUUAAAAAGAAUCAGAAACUUAUAUGUGCUUUAACAUUUUUAAUUCUGGAAAGUUUUAAGAUGAGUUUAUCAUUUUAGCAGAUGAUGUUAUGACUUGACUUCAGAACACUUCACCAUGCAAUUCUGAAAUCCCAUCCCAUCAAACAGUUCCCCGCUCUCUUCUCCAAGAUCCUGACAGCUACCAUUCCUGCAUCUGCCUCUGAGCUUCUCUACUCUAAGUACCACAUGUAAACAGAACCAUUCACCACGAUUCGUUGUGUGUGUGUGUGUGUGUGUUAGAGAAAGGGGGAUGCUUAUUUCAUUUAACAUAUGUCCAUAUGUUCAGUCAUAUAGCUUUUUUAGGGCUGCUGUUCAACAUCCCAUUGUAUUCAGGUAGCAAUCUUUAUUUUAUCUCAGUAGAUGUUCUAGUUGCUUCCAUGCAACACAAAAGAGCAAAACCUAUCAAGGUGCUUCCUACAUUUCCUUCCUGUAGGCUGAGCAGUUAUUUUACUGUUUCAUCAUUCUGUGUGUAUGUGCACUUGCACAUGUGCCCCCCCCCCCAGCCCCCGACCUGGCCUUGUAGAUAGUCGUGGGCUACCAUGUGGACUUGAGUCCUCUGCAGAAGGGACCAGUACCUUAACCAGUGAGAUACCGCUCCAGCCUCCCUCUGCUUUCUUCUUUAAAGGUGGAUGCUGCCUUUGAUAAUGCUUUUAGGAUUAAAAAUAAACCCCAAGCCAAGACUUAAGACUCUGCUGUAGAUAAUUCUAUAAGUUAUUUGCUCCGGAAUCAAAUAUAAAAAAAACAUAUUUUGUGAAAUUAUUUAGUCUUGUCAAACAGCUAGGCAGAAUAGCUUUUCUUUGUACCUGGUUAUGGGCAUCUUAACAAAAGCUAGUACAGUAAAAACCCAUUCCAAAGUCUUUAACUGGCCCUUCUCAUUACAACUCAUAAGCCAGAUUUGCUCCUCUUCCUGAGUUCUUCUGUGGUGCAGGCAGUGGGCUGCAGGGCUUCACAGGCUAGCUAAGGACACUGUUGUAAGCUCACCACGAACUGUUCUAUCCAAACCGACCUGGCCCACUGAACACUAUACUCCUGUGUGUGAUAGUUACUCCAUGAGUCUCGAUGGGGGUAAUUGCUUACAUUAAGCAUUUCUGCUGCAAUUUUAAUUCGUGUGACACAGGACUGAUGAACACUUUACAUUAGUGUUCUGGGGUGGCAUGCCUCCUGUCGGAACUGAGCGGCAUUGGCCUCUGGCUGUCCUGCAGAACUUGAGCGCAAGAGUGCUCCAGCCUCAGUUCACUCCUGACUGUAACGACCGAGCAAGGACUUUGCUGAAGAGUGUGAUUUUCCUUGUCAAGAAGAAAGAUGAGUAGACUUUGUCAGGUUGAUAAAUUCAGGUUAGAGAGGAAGCUGGGGAUGUGUUCCACCUUCCUGCUGUGCUCGGCCUUUCAUCUGAGUUUGUACCACAGCAUCACACACACACACACACACACACACACACACACACACACACAGCCAAGUGAACCUGGAUGGGAGCCUUGGGGCUGCUUGUAUUUGGGAGCUUCCCCCCCCCCCCGCCCCCCUUGAUGGCAUUUGAAGAUGCAACGGUAAUUACUCUUUGUUUUCUGGGCUUACUGUUUUAGAUAUAUAUGAUUUGUACUGAGACAGUUGAAGGAUGGACUAUGCAGAGAAUUACACUCCUCAGCUGCCUCUGGUCAUUGUGUCUGUCUAGUACUUUCAGAACAUUUUUGGAUCUAUUACUUAAACCUGACACAUCUUGACUUAAAACCUAUUCAGUUCUAUUUAGCUGAUGCUUCUUCUGCCUGUGUUCUUUGGCUGGCUGGACAUGUAAAGUAAGUGUGUGUGUGUGUGUGUGUGUGUGUGUGUGUGUGUGUGUUGGGGGGUAGUCCUCCAUAACUAUGAUCUCUCAUUAGAAAUUCUAAUAUCCUGUCUGAUAAUUCUGUGUGUUGUUGUCUGCUCUGAAAGAGACAAUGGGAUGUGUAGCCCUGGCCCCUCGUGGAGCCAGGCCAUUCCCAUGGUCAUUGUAUUCCCCACUUACGUACAGUUCCCGGUGUUAAUGGGGGCCAUUUUAGAUGCCUUUCUCACAGAUCACCCACAAUAAAAAGUGAGAUUUUUGAUCCUUUUGAUUUUCAUGACCUGUUUCUAAAGCAAAAGUAAACAAUGUUAAGCUUGUUAUGCAUGUGAUUUACAGGCGCUCUAGUGAGAACAAUAGCUUUUUCCUUUUUAUUUUCAAGACAGGGUUUCUCUGGGCUGGCUGUCCUGGACUCCAUUUGUAGACCAGGCUGGCCUCGAACUCAAUAGAGAUCUGCCUGCCUCUGCCUCCCAAGUGCUGGGAUUAAAGGUGUGCACCACCACACCCUGUUUGACUUUCUCUUUUGAAAUAAAGAAAUCUGCACAGAGGGAAAAGUCACAGGCUUAACAAGAUUAAGAGAUUCUUACUCAGAAAUGCAUAGCCUUGAUGUCUGUCUAUAGUUCAGGGUUAGUUGGCUGUCUACUGAACUUCCCAUGAUUCAAAGCAGAAUCAGAGUUUAAUAGUGCGACCAUCAAAUGGGCUCUUAAUGUAAGAGGAUAAGUAGCAUAUAGGUUUUUGUUUGUUUUGUUUUGUUUUGCUUUGCUUUGCUUUAGAAACAGCCAACAAAUGGUGUGUUUCAGUAGCUGCUUAUACCAAGGACCUUAUCUGUGAAAGCUGAGGACCGAUGGCGAGGACUUGAGUGUCUCUUACCUUCUCCAUUAGCCAACAUUACCAUAAGCCCCUUAUCUCUGAUGCAAGAGUUAAGCUAUUGGACUGCAUUGAGUAGCCGUGAGCAAUCCUGAGAGUUUAACCUCAUAGGACACACUCACUCUGUAUACUACUGACAGCAAACGGAAUUUGCUUUAAAGAUGAUUUCAGGUGGAUAAUGUCUACCUCUCCCACUCAGUAUGCCUUAUUCACAUUCGCAAAUAAAGUAUAGCACCAGUACUUUAGUUUAACCAGUUUUACUUGUUUUAAGUGAAAUUUAUAUAAACUAGAUUGGAUUAGGUAUAAGGUACUUACUAGUAUCUAAAGACAUCUUGUUUUCGCUUUAUAGUAAACUUUACAUGUUUUAAUGCAUUCAUUUAGUAGCUUGAGUUGCAGACAGACAUAACCAAAGUAAGGUCAAUAUAGUAUGACUAAAACUAAAACACAAAGUUUACAAUUCCAGUUCAGACAAUCAGUUGUAGAAUUUAUAAGCUCUCUGUUGCCUGGAAACCAUGGUUGUUAGAAAGGAGAUUUCUUGUCAGUAAGCAAGUGUUGGUUGCUACACUCACUCACUCAUUCUCUCACUCAGAUGCGUAAGGUCCUAAUAGAAUGUAAUGAUCCUGAUAGAAACUUUAGAUUAUUUCCUCUUCACACAUCAAAGUCACGAUCAGAAUCACUUGCAACGGCCCGAUUUGAGACUUGGCUUACUCUAAACCCCAUCUGAUUUCCUUUAGGCUCCUUUUGUCUAUGAUACUCUUGAAAAUAAAACAGCUAUAUUCUUUUCUUUGAGAUGAAAAUGUGCCUGUACUCAUGAACAGUCCUGUGUACAAGAGUUCCUAAGAUUCUGUGCAGAGCUCCUGUGCACAGGCCCCGUGCUGCUGGAGCUCCUGGGUGUCUGCUGCUCUUCUCAGCACUGUGCUGCUUCCAGGACAUAGUCAUCUGGCUUUCUGCUGCUGUUGGUUCAGUUUUGAGAUUGCCAUUGAUGACAGCAUCUCUCUUCCCUUUUCUCCUUUGAGACAUUCCCUUAAACCCAUCCCUACUCUUCUGUAUAUUCAUUGCUUCUUUUUCCACUGGUUGUCACUAUAUGCAUGUAUGUAUUUGUAUAUACAUCUAUAUUCGCAAAUAUAACCUGUUUAGUCAGUGUAAUGCUACUUCUAUGUAUAUUUUCAGGGCUGACCAUUUGGCACAGGGCAGUUUGGUGUGCUCCUCCCUGGUGAGGACUGUCCUCACUAGGCAAGUUGAUGGUUGUCCUCAUUUGAACCAUUUGAUGGAACCAUUUGAACAGUCAUGUUGGUGAGACUUUAUGGGUAUAGUUUCUUUUGUUCCUAAGAGACACAGUCUCACAGCUAAUUCCUUGAUCCUUUGACUCUUCCAGGCUUCCUGCCCUCUCUUUCUUCUCUAGCAUUCACGGGGCUUAGGUAUGAGAAUGUGUUGUCGAUGGCCAUGGGACCGGCCUCCACAACUCUGCACAUUGGUUAGCUGUAGUUCUCUGUAGUGGCCUUUGUCUGUUGCAAAGAGAAGUUUCCUUGAUGAGGGGUGAAUUACCUGGGGAUACAAGGACAGGUAUUUGUUGUUGUAGUUAGAAUUAUGCUGGUUUAGUAAAUUAGUGGUUGUAGAUUCUCCUCCAAUAAUCAGGAUUUCACUAGCACUGACUUUUUUAACCAAUAAAAUGUGAAUGAGGAGCUCAUGCCAUUUAAGGCCAGAAAUAUUAAGAGCCAAGGUGUGGUCCUAUGUCUCUCCCAUUCUCUUAACACCAGAGCACUCUGAUCAGGACCAAUCAUUCACCUGGUCUGGACUACAGAUUGUAGAGCUCUGUCUACUCUCAGUAGAUCUAUGAAAUGAACGUAACUGACAGACCAUGAAACCUCUAUAUUUUAGGGUCAUUUGUUAGUUUAGCUUAGAGUGACUGCAAUAAGAUCCUUGAAGUUCUUAGAUACUCAAAACCUAGAGGAUAUGUAUGUAUGUAUGUAUUUGUAGUUGGUCAUUAAAGUGUGUUCAUGAUUCCAUACUGCAGUUUGGGUCCUGAACACUGAGUAUGAGUGCUGAGGGAAUGAGAAACACGGGAAAGCUGGGUGCCACCUCUAACCAAGGGUCCCUGCUCUUGCCAUCUCUGGAACGUGAUGUGGUUUAUUAGGUCCAAGCACAGGGGGAGAGGUGAGCUGAUGUCUGUAGGAGGUCUCUGUAGAGAGCAAUCACAGGCUGACAAGCACUGACUGGCUGUCAUAAACACUCCUACUUUAACCAGAAGGCUUUUCAGACUUCCAGCCUGGCCCGACUCAGCCUCACAGUGAUUUGCUCAGUAGAUAAGAUAGUCUUUCUCCUAGAAAAAGGAUACUGAAACAGGAGCUCAGUGGUUUGCCUGAGGUCAUAUAACUAUCGAGAGGAGAGAGGAAGAGCCAGGCUUUGAACUUAGCAUGCAUGCCCCUGAAGACCAUUUCAAGGCAGGAUGCAGAAUAGCUGUGUAACAGUUUUCUUCACUACUAUAAGUGUAGACUAUUCAGCUGAGAAAACACGGGCUUUUCUUUUUCUUGUGCCUCUUUGUAAGUACCAUGGAACUCUUUAUUAGAUCAUGAAUUUCAUAGACUGUAAAUUCUGCCACACAAACAGCCUUGAUAUUGUGAAAAUCAUUGUAGCCUUUUCUAAACAAAACCCAGUACAUCUAUAUAUAUACAGCAAAAAAUAAUUAAUUAAAAAACCCAUCACUCAUUUUUUAAAAAAGAACUGUUAGCAAACAUAUUAUUUCAUUCUUUAAAACAAUUUCUUUUGGUUAAGUCAUUAGUUGGCCUAUUUAUUUCUGGGAAAAAGCUUAUUCUUCUUAAGUUUACCAUGCUUGGUCAUGUUUGAAUAGAUGAAUAGUAAUUUGUGCUGAACAUUUCACAAGUUUAAGUGAAAGUGCACUUAACCCAUCCCACUUGAUGUGACGUGCACGCCUCGUCAGUGACAGGCACUCCACGAGAUGGCGAUGAGUGAGGAUGUGGGUGAGGAUGCUGAGACCUGUCACAAAUGGAAGCUCAAAUAAAGAGGAGAUGCUGGUGGGCGGGUGCUGUCUCUGUUGCCUGCUACCACCAUCCUCCCUCUCCCUAGAGGGGGAAGCCCCCCUGGGAAUUUCUUUGUCAUUUCUCCUGUCACUUCUACAUGGCCAAAUGAAGGGUUAUGCUAAAUGUGGUGGCAUGUGUCUGUGAAUCCAGCAUUUGGGAGGCCAAAGAAAGAAAAUUGCUCUUGAGUUCAAGCCUGCAUGUUGGGUUUUGAGCCAGCCUGCGUUCAGAACAAAUGGUUAGUGCCAUAAGAACUGGAUACAGCUAUAAAACUAUGCUAUAGAAAGAGGGAUAACCUUUCCUUUCUAACUGACUUCCAAAUGCUUUCUUAGUUCUUUAUGGGAUGUCUUUUAUGGUGCAUUUGAAGCCUUGGGCUUGAGCUGACACUGAGCCACACCCUUAGUAACAAACAGAAGACUUAAAACAUAGCACAAGAUUUUAACUUGACUGUGUUGCUUUACUAAUUUUUCCACUGUACAUGUGUAGGACUCUUGUUGAGCUGUAUAUAUGUAUUCAUAUAUUAUCAAGUAUACAUUUUUGUGACUAAAUUAAGGUCCUAACAGUCAAAAUUUGUAUUUUCCAUUUUUUGAAAUUGGUGCAUAUUGUGCUUUAAUCCAAGCGGCAAGUGUGUCUCUGGUGCAUGUUACAAUAAUACUAACGGACUGUUAGAUGUUAAUUUAUGCCUUGUAAAUCAGAAACGGUGUAGUCUGCACAAUGAGUGCCGUAUAGGGACAGCUUCCCUGCAGACACCUGUGCGGGUUCACACUCUGAGCAGUCUUCUGCCUGGGUGUGAAGAAUUUCUGUCCUGUAUAAUUUCAGUGAGAAACCAGAUUAUAAAAUACAUUUAAUUGCUAAUCAUAACAAACCUUGUCAGCUUCGUGCAUUGUUGACUGUGUUUCGAAAACAGUGUUUGGCUUAAGAGCCAGUCUAAGACAGUCUCUGUUCUCCAGGACAAGUUGGCAGCUUUGUGUUGGAAUCUAUGCACAUCAGGAGGCAACUUUAGAGACUUUCUGAGUCCUGUCAGGACUGGUUUUACCCAUAUUGAAUGUUUGAAAAGACCCCCCCCCUCCCAGGUUUUUCUGUUUUCUGUUUGUCUGUCUGUCUUUUAAGUACAGGAAUAAGUUGUAAAAACCAGGCAUUUGCUUUUUGACAGGGAUGCUUAAUGUUUAUACUGUGGAUAGAAGCAUUCUUGCUUCUUAUAAAUAAAUUUUAUAACAAUUUAAACUCCAUUAGUGUCUAAAGAAAUUAAUACCUUUAAAC